GAUGAACGCUGGCGGCGUGCCUAAUACAUGCCAGUCGAGCGAACAGACGAGGAGCUUGCUCCUCUGACGUUAGCGGCGGACGGGUGAGUAACACGUGGAUAACCUUCCUAUAAGACUGGGAUAACUUCGGGAAACCGGAGCUAAUACCGGAUAAUAUAUUGAACCGCAUGGUUCAAUAGUGAAAGACGGUUUUGCUGUCACUUAUAGAUGGAUCCGCGCCGCAUUAGCUAGUUGGUAAGGUAACGGCUUACCAAGGCAACGAUGCGUAGCCGACCUGAGAGGGUGAUCGGCCACACUGGAACUGAGACACGGUCCAGACUCCUACGGGAGGCAGCAGUAGGGAAUCUUCCGCAAUGGGCGAAAGCCUGACGGAGCAACGCCGCGUGAGUGAUGAAGGUCUUCGGAUCGUAAAACUCUGUUAUUAGGGAAGAACAAAUGUGUAAGUAACUAUGCACGUCUUGACGGUACCUAAUCAGAAAGCCACGGCUAACUACGUG
rnacentral:rRNA from 1 species